CUCUGCACACAGUGGAUUUGCAUGGGCUACCAGUGGCAACGCAGUGUCUACUGCACCACUGGUUUUUCUGCAGUUACAUCCAGAAUAUCAGUUUUAUCAAGCUCCAUUUCUUGCCUAUGAAGAAGUCCUUGACAAUCCACCCUCCUGAUCCUGCUCCCCUACUGCCCACCUCCCAAUGGCCCAACCAUAAAGUACCAUGCAGCCGAUUUUAGCUGCAUUCACGUACAGUCUUUUAAGACGAGCAGUGAUACAAGAAAAUACAAAAGGAAUGCAUACGUUCAGGUAGUAUUCUUUGUUUUCUUGUAAAAUGUUGACUGACUUUACUGUAGAUUCCAUGCUACAAAUUGUUUUAUCACUAAUAUUAUUGAAUUUACAUUUCUUAACUAUUCUUACUGGCGUGGAGGGUAAAUGAUAGUAUGCAUAAAACUGUUAGCUUAAAACAUGCAUGGCAUGGUUUGACACACUUGGAUCUGCAGCUGCAAGCUGAAGUCAGCACUCACUCUCUAUAAACUGUUAAGGUUGUUAUCAUAGGACAGUUCUGAACAGCAAAUCUUGCUUUUCUCAUUUAGAAGAAAUGAAAGUCAGGAGAGUCAGAAGAAAAUUUCUGUCUGCAAUGGGGCGCACAUUGCCAUUACCUUACCCAGCUUGUUACAACUGAGGUGGCAAUUCUCUAAUCAAUUUCUUUGCCAAGUCAGAUCUCCUUUUGACAAUCAAAUCCCUCAGAUAGGUUGCACAGAUUGUAGAUACAGAGCAUACAAAUGGUAGAUGAACUAUGCAACUACCUGAAUGGCACAGUGGGACUGAACGGCUCAACUGAGCCAUGGUUUCUAAGACAAACAUCACUGGCACACUGCCGCAGCAGUUAGGUCCAUGCAAGGAAGGAGCACAGUGGAGCACCAUGCAGCAAAAGGGACUCUUCCUGCAAAGAGCAGAGCCCACAGACCCUUCCUCACACCCAGCAGCUCCUUGCAGCUCAGCAAUGGGAAUUAAUGCAAAAUGUCUUUCCCACAUUCUAGUAGUAGCUUUGACAUUAGCAAGAGCAGCUACAUGGCACCUAUUAUCCAGAGAGUGGUUGUGGCCCAAGAAACUCGUGUUACUCCUCUCUGGUUUUAAGAUUUAAUUUUCGCCUGCUGUGGAAAGAUAGAAUGAAUUCCAGCUUAGCCUGAAGAUCCUGCCUGCGCAGGUGUGCUGCAAGAACGCUGCUGCGACGUUCAGCUCGAAGCUGGGUGAAUGCUUCAGAUGACUGCAGUAAUUAUCAGAACAACCGGGUUUAGUUCCCCACACUUUAAUCUGGAGCAGAUCUGCCCAAGUUUCUUCUGACCUUUUCCCUCAGAUAGAUAAAGCUGGAGGGGGGGAAAGGAAAGGCUGCAGUACUUGGCACUUGAUUGACGUAGAUCAUGAGAGAUGUGUAUUCAAGACCAUCCUUUUUGUGGGACUGUAGAAAUUGAGAUUUUUAUUUUAAUACCUAAAUUCACCUUCUAAUUGCCAAGUUUGUCCUGGAUAGGCUCCCCAGCCCUGGUACUGGUACUGGUGUGGUGCCAUCGGUCGCUGCCCAGAGCCUUGCAGAGGAAGGCUGGGAGGAGCCCAAGGAGGCCACAAGGAGAUCAGCACAGGCAAGGGGCUGGAGACAGUGUUUAUUGUUUUGUAUGGAAAGUGCUGGACAUGCUGUCUCCCUCCUAUCCACCGAGACUGGGGAAGCUGCCCAAACUCCUCCAGUUCCUCCAUGGGCUGGAGGGGAAUUUACCCCAGGUUCUUGUAUCUCGCUAAAUGAUGACCAUGCAGCUGCUUAGCAGUAGCAACCCAUGACUGCAGUUUUUUGUGAACCAAGCCCAUUAAUUCUUCCUCUUCUCACUGCCCCUAAGUAAGACAUUUAACUUCCUGUCCAAUGCAAAAACAUACUCAAAUUGAAGCUUUCUCAGAUUUUGUUUACAUCGAGAAAAAUGGAAAACAUUUAUUGUGGGUCAGCCUAAACGAAUUUUAGUUUAAUUUUUCAGUUUGGCAACUGAUCAAAAACUCAUUAGCACCGUUCUAGCUCCACUCUUAUCACUCAAUAUUUUCUACAAAUAGAGCAAGCAAUUUGCACACUAAACAGAGCUUGUACAGGAAAAUAAAUGAAACAAAAACAACAGAAACCACACAACUGGGACACAGAGGUACACCUGGGUUAUUUCUCUGUGUGCUAUCAGUACUGCGUCGGUCAAAUUAGGCCAUCAGUAACAUCUUUGUAAUCUGCAGUUUUUAAAUGCCCACCCAGUUACGCCUAUGUCACUCCUUUAUUUUCAGGGGCAUCACAUAGGAUUAACAGCAGAAGGAACCUAGUCCUCAAAGUUAAUGAAAAUGCUGUUGGUGAAGGUCAGGAAGGCACGUUCAGAACUACAGCGUGGCCUCUGUAAAUAAAGUGCUGGCACACAGCGCACUUACUGUGCCACUCCUCAUCCCUGCAGACCAAUUGUCUCUGAUGAAGACUUACUUUAAUUGUUCCAUGACUGCUGACGUGUUUAAUUAAAGACUCACAUGGCUACAUCUUUGGUGAGAAAAUGUGAGGCGAUCACAAACACGAAUAAGGUAAGAAAUCACAAAGGCACGCUCAGAAGCAAAACAUUCAAGUGCUCUCUAGUGCAGCAUUUCAGCAGAACACUGGUGUGUGAGUUUCUGCCUGACAUUAAAGUUCAGUCCAGUAUUUCUGAGGGAGAAAAGACCAGCACUGACAGAGUAAGUCAUCUGGCCAUAGGAAGCUGUGUUGACAAAAAUUCAUACAGUAGAAAUUGGAAACCCAUGCUCCAAAGUUUUCUUCUAUUAACAGUUUAAUGUCCAACUCUGCAAUAUAUGAUUUAUGGGAAUUCUCUAAUACAACCCAGCCUUGCAUAUUUUGCCAUUUAUUAUUCUUAUUUAGCAAAUGGCAAAGACCAAACUAUCUGAUUCCUGAAGCCAUUUUUUUAACCAUUUUUAAUAUGUACCUCUCAUUGUAAUUGUCUAUAGAUUCCACUUUUUGCAGAUCCCUCUUUUCAGUCCUCACUGACGGGCCAGUUUGGGCUUGCUUAUUUUUGCAGUUUUGUGGGGUGUUUUGGAGAUGGUAAAAUUUAGGGGAAUUAGAUGUUUGCACGUGGAAUUGAGGCAGUUGAGCAGAAACAUGGAUAGAAUUCUGUUGUUGCUUCAUUGGUUUUUAUGAAAGUGUCUUCUACAUACAGCUCUGGAUUGACUCCUGACCUCACCCUUUGGGAUUUAAUCGAGGCAAAGGCAUCCAUAAAUCCAUACUCGCAAUGUUUUGUUUUCUAUAGACUCGUCUAUACUUCGUGUUUUAAAAGUAGAUUUCUUUGUUGCUUAUGGUCCCUCUGUGACUACAAUAGCACCUAAGCAUCUUGGUGUAAUAGCGUUGUGUAUUGAAACCCUUUUGUUUCGGAAAUGGAUUGUGUGGAAAAGCGUCCUGUAAAACCUCUUGGUAAGUCCCAUUUUGUUAUUUAAUAUCUGCUACUCGUUACGAGUGCCCAUUCCCCUGGGAGCCUUGGAGAAGUUAGAUGCCAAAGGCUGCGUGUUUGAAACUGGUCCUACAGUAGAGCAAGUAAAUAUUAUCAAUAUACUUUAUUUGGGAAGGAUUCCUUGGCCAAAGAAGGGCUUUAAAAACUAGAAAGAGAGAGUCUGCAGAGUAUGAAGAUAUUGAUGAAGACGAUAAGCAGUGUGUUACAGAUUGGGUAUCCACACAGAUGAAAGGAGAAGGAGCAGUGAGUGAGCCCCAUGGUGGCUGCUGCGGUAAAGGUGACCGUAUCAUAGAAUGAUCAUAGAAUGAUCAUAGGAUGGCCUGGGUUGAAAAGGACCAUAAUGAUCAUUGAGUUUCAACCCCUCUGCUAUGGACAGGGUUGCCAGCCACCAGACCAGGCUGCCCAGAGCCACAUCCAGCCUGGCCUUGAAUGCCUCCAGGCAUCCUUUGGAGCCUCUGCAUCAGAUGGGAACGCAGAUAUCCACAGCCUGGGGAACAGCAGGAGAGGGGCUCCGCAGAGAUGGAGCUGGGGGAAAUCAAACCCAGAAAUGGGGAAACUGAAAUCUGUCUGACAGGGAGAAGGAAAUGAAUAAUCAGCACACGGAGACCGAAAGACGGACUUUUAAAAAGUUAUUUCAAGAUGCAAAUGCUUCCUCUAUUGUUUCCUAUUUGCAUUUUAAAGUACUUCAGUAUCAGAGUUGAGGCAUCUAGAGAGGACAAACCUGCCUCGGGUCAGCUCAGAGGUGACGCAGAAGAGUAUUCAAAACAUGUUUGUCAAAAAGGUAAGCCUCACCAAAGUUUGCUUUCAACUUGAAAGGUCUGUUGCUCCAAGAACUAUUCGUGACUACUCUCAAUGAAAAACGGAGGUGGAGAGAAGGGUUGAUUUUUUGGCUCUUCAUUUUUCAUGUGUACAUAUUUUCGCGUUGCAUUUUAAGAAAGAAAAAAUACUCCCAUUGAUUGCCUGGGUCAACAAGGAAUACAAAAUAUAGAUCUAAAGAAUGAACAGUGCAAACCUGAGUACUCAUCACUGCUUUAAAUCCCAUUGGAACAGAGUGACUCUCGAGCCGUGCCUGUGGGUGCUGGUAUGACAGUUCCCAAACCCUGCAGCGAUGCUAUGGCCCCAGAUGAAGACCUCACCCAAUGACCCCCAACGGGCUCCGACCUGCGGGCAGCCAGUUCCAAAUGUGCACACAAAAGGGCUUUGCCAGUUACGCUAUGGUGCAAAAUGAAGGAAAUCUCCCUCUUUGCCCAUUGUAAUGAUUUGUGUGUUUCCAGCUUAUUCUAACCCACAGCGCAGCGUAUGUGCAACAGUGCUUAAUUACAUAGAGGCCAAGAUGAAACUGGAGGAGCCCAGUAACCAUGGAGAUCAGUGAUCAAUAAUAUAAUACUGUUUGUUUAUAAAUUAUCCAUAGCCCCUGUAUCCUUUUGUAAAAGGCAAGUGAGAUCCAGGCAACAUGUUCAAUUUAUAAUUAUUGUCUAAAAUAAAAUGUGAUUAUGCUUUCUGUGGGUGACUACCUGCCCAUUAAUAACAUUAUUUUCAGAUCGUUCGAUACGAUAUGGAUCGGUGGAGAUAACUGUGUUUGGAGGAGAAAUACAAAGCUGCUCAAUAAAGGGGAGGCUGUAAAGAUACAUCUGAAGGCUGGCAUGUAGAAAGUGCUUUCAAGCAGGAGUCUCAGUAGGUACAACUUGGCUGUGUUAUGUUUGUGGUGCAAUUAGGGGAAGGUCCUAUAAGCGUAUACACCAUGCACAAAACACAAACCACGUUACCAAUUCCUUUACCAGGAACAAAAUCCUCAUUGUGAGGCUCUAAAGGUGACAAUUGUAAUGUGAAGGCUGUCUCAGACAGUGAUUAAGAAGAUUCUGGAGGAGCUUUCAAAUCUUUUAGUUCCUCUUCCUUUUGGGUAAAUUAAGGUAUUUUCUGAGUUUUUUUAUCCUCCUCCCUGGUUCUAUAUAAGCAAGUCAUUAGUUUUACUCAGUGUUUUCCAUUGGAAAGCCAAUAGUCAUCAAAAUUUAAAGUUUUCACAUGCUUUACUAUGCUGGUAUAUUGGGGUGGGAAAACAAAAUGGUUUUCAUCUCAUUACUACCUAUUUCAGUGUUUCUGUGGUAUUUCCACAUUUUUAAUAUUUCUAGUUUCUUUUCAAAACCACUUGGUUAAAAAAUGUGGAAAUGAUUUUUUUUUAUAUUAUUCAACCAUUUUAUGUAAUGCAAACCCAUCAAUGACCUGCUUUGUGUUUCACUCCGUGAUGAGUUUGUUUCCUUUCAGCUGGGAAUAAUACUUUAAGAAAUCUUCCUCAGAAUGUGAAAUCUGCCUCCCCAGCAGCAUGGAAGGCACAGCGUGGGGAAACAGGAGCCAUUUCACCACAAUCUACUGAAGUAUUUUAAUGGACUAUCUGAUAACGGAGUUAUUGACAGCAGAUAUGGCAAAAUGACAGGACUGCAGCCAGCAGAGCCACAUGAAGCAUCUGAUAUCUGAAUUGAAGGACAAAAGACAAUUUUUCUAGAAAAUCUGAAGAAUAAUCAUUUUAUCCAUCCAUCCAUCCAUCCUUUCUGCAUAGGUACCUAAGGUUAAAACACACUUCUGCUAAGAUAUCUCCACGAUGAGAACAAGGUACAGGUGCCAACUGGCAGCUCAGUGUCAUGAAGGAUACGUGAGCUCACGAGGACACCUCCCACACAUUUGGAGAAAGAAGCAGAAGAAAGAGGCUGGGUGCUGGCCUACAACAAAGCAGUGUAUUCUCAAUUCCAAAUAAACCCAUUUCAGGAAGUGGUCAUUAUAAAUUAAAUUCCUCUAAACAUCUCUGCUUUGAAGAGCUGUUCACUGCAUAACUAAAACUGCUCCUACAGAAUGAUGUUGUCCUGCAAUGCUGCGUAUUCUGAUCCCCACUCCUGCCACCAUGGCUAACAACAGAACAGCUCUUUCAGUAUAUAUGGAGAAAAUACUCUACUGAACCCUUCCCAGACCGUGUUUUCAGGACUUAAAACACUCUGAACAAAUCAAAAUACUUAUUUAAAAAUUAAAUUAAUUCCCACUUGUAAUACAGCCAUCCACUCCUAAUGACAGGCCUGAUCUCGGCAGGAAUAAUUCACCAGGAGAGAAGCAGGGCAACAUAGCCCAUUUCCAAGCACGGAGCUGAGGCCAUGGCUCACGGCAGUGCAGUCACUCCUGGCUCCCAUCGCCAAAGCCAAAGGGAGGCUGAGUUGGAAGGGAUUUCUGACCUUAAAGUUGGCUGAAGAGCUCCUCCUUCCCUUCCCUCCUGUGUGGAUGGAAGCAAGGAUGACUGGGAUUGUAAUUAAGCACACCUGCACGAAGAAAGCAUAGAAUGGAGAUUUAUAUUGGAGAAAUUUUCCUCUCAAACCUUCUGGCCCGGGUUGAGCCUGCAGACCAUUAGGCACCUAAAAGCUCAGGUUGGAUGCAUAUGGGACAAAAAGUUCAAGGGUGGAAAUUCUCAGAUAGGGAUCUCCACUCUUCUCUGUUUACUCCAUAUUUCAUCAUCUUAAUAACAUAAUAAACAGUGUCGAAGAGGCUGUCUCUAGGUCAGAGGAGUUUAAGAUCAAUAGAUAUAUACAGGGGGAAAGGUAAACAGAGUAAUCCAAGUGUUACUGAGUUACAUGGACUACUCUGUUAGAGACUGACAGAUUACUGGGUCCUGAUCUCCAGACCGAAAUGAUGCAUCAGAAGUGAAUGGUAUUUUAAAGAACUUUUUAAGUACUAUUUUCAUAGUGUGUUUCCUUAAGGAAGAAGACUGUCAGUCUGUGUAUGAGUGAAAAUAACUCCUAAAAGGCGAGGUGAUGCAGCGUGUCCCAGCAAGGCCUUGCUCAAUCAAUUGCAAUUUGUCUAAAAACACAAUAAUCUGUUCUCAAGUUUCCAAGCAAGAUCUAAUCCUGCACUUGAAUUAUCUCACCUGUUUAAGAAGGGUACACUGGUUGGCUUUUAUUUUUCCUAACAAUUACUUUUAUUCUGGGGAAAAUAAUCUUUGCACAGUUAAGCUGCUGCUGUAGUGGACAUUAGGAACGCUGUUCCUAUUGCAUGGGUGAAUCGUAUGAAGAUGAGGGUACUCAACCACCUAAGUCAUCACCGAAGACUGCUUUCUUGUAGUUACUGUGCACAUACUCUUACACAUAGCCAGAGUCCUGUUGCUACAUGAGAUCCUCACAGACAAGUCCCGUCUGGCUUAUUUUUGAUGUCCAUGAUGAACAGGUCAGUCUUGGGCUGACUUCCUCUUCUAGGAGACAGAAUAAAAAUCCAAUGGCAACAUCCAGCUUUGAAGCAGUUACUGUAGCUUCCCCAUUGUGAGCGGAUGCACAUACUGCACAGUACAUGCAGUAGACGUAUGAAGAGGAAGUAAUUGUAAAUCCCUCCAUUAAUCCAAUAUACAUUGCCCAUAUGACAACUUCCCAGUUUGCCUACCCCCAAGCCAUGAGUUUAAAUAUAAUAUAAAGUUAACUGCGUGAAAAUACAGAGAAUAUGUUAACCUUGUAGAUAAAAUUUUAGCCAUAACUAUAGAAAGACUGAUCAAAAAUAUCUACAAGUACUGCAAUGCUAUUUGAAAUAAAAUUUGGCAAUCCUUCCUGGGAUAAAUGUAAUGCAUAUGUUCUACCCCAUCCUAUCAAGUAGAGGGAGAAGUGUAAAUGUUUCUUAUUUGAGAGAUAACUGAAGGAGAACUAACCAAACUACAAAAGACAUUAAAGUCAAACAACAACAAAAAGAUCCUUUGUCUCAGAGGGUCAGAUAAAUAUUACAUACUUGACAAAAGCCCUAUCUAAACAUAUAAUAGUCAAAAUCAGAGCUACGGGAAUCUAAAAACGUCUUUAAGAGCAGAGUAAGCCAAGCAGAUGCACCAGCAGUUUCUAAAAACAGCUGAAAAAGGAAAUUACCACAUAGUUUCCAAAGCACCACACAUUGCUCGAUUUUCUUCAGCAGAACAGACAAAGAGCAGAUCUCUUCACAAAAAGGGGUGACGCUGUGCUCAGGCUGCAGUCCCAGCAUCAUUUGCAGUUCUAAUCAGUAUCAGUUCAUUUAAACAAGUAGCUCCCUUCCCUUCAUGAGGGCCCAUUUCACCUGAGCCUAUUUUCUGAGCCCAUCUGCUUCAAACUUCUUUUUGCUGUAAUUUAGAAGGAUGCCCAGAUCCAACCUCUCAAAAUAGUUAGAUGAACAUUUGGAUACAAGCGGCAACCCUCAUCAUAAAGCUGAUACCCACACACAGUUGGAUGAGGGAUGUUUAUAAUUGAUACUCAUCCUUUUUUUUUUUUUGUUGUUUGCUCGUGAGCAGUUUCUUUUAUGCUCUGUUAUUGAAGUGCAUGUGUUGACUUAAGAGGACAGCCUUGUAAAUGAGAUCUUUGAUCUCAAGAGUUUAUUUUAUCUUUGCAGAAAGGAAAAGUGAGUUGAAUUGGCUGGCAGAACCAAAGCUUCUCUUUCUUCUGUUCUACAGCUGCUCCAUCCUUCUGGCAUCAUCAUCACUUCCACUUCCACCACUAGAUACCCUAUUUUGUCCAAGAAUUAAAAAGGCUUCUCCUGCAUCUCACCAUAGCUGGCAGCACAAGGCUGAAAGCUCUGCAGCUCCUGGUUCUUGUAGGAACCACGCAGCAUGCUCGCACGGUUUUGCUUCUGUAGGAGGAAUGUAUUUGACAAACUGCUGAACUCUGAUAUAGCAAAGCUCUUUGAGCUACUCUGAUGCCUCAUUAGAAAGUAAACUUUAAUAUUCAUUGCCCUUCUGUGGUGAAACACAGACUAGAAAGAGUACAGCCUGGAAGGCUGCAAACUGCCUGGAAGGCAGACUGAAAAGAAGCAUUGGCUCUGAGAUGUAGAAGGAAGCAUGCAGUCAUUACCUAUUACACUACCUGUACAUACCUAUAAAUGACAGAGGCAGUAACACUAAGGACCUUUGUGCUAUAUUCUGCAUUUACACAAAAAAGACUCCACUGAGCACAAUACCAACACGAAUUUACUUCCCAGUUUGGAUCACCAAUCUGAUAGUGUUGUCAUAUUGUUACCAUCUGCAUUUCAUUUAGUUUCUGCAUUUUCCUUAAAGCCAAUUUUAGCUACUACGACAGAAACUUCUUUACAUGUCCUUGCCAUCCUUUCCCCCUUUAGUUUGAUUUAAUUCCACCAUGUGUUCUUUGUUCCAAACAACAGAAAGAAAUAAAGGAAAAAUGAGGACUCUGCCAUUUCGUAGUAGGUAGAUAUCUGUACAAAACCAGGAGUUUCCAAUUGCCCCAAAGUAAUUGCAUGCAGAACAGCCAGGCUUAGUCAACACCUUUAGCGCUCCCCAUGAAAGCAGCAAAGUUUGCCACUAAUGUGUCUCAGAAAAUAAAGUUUGAAACAGUA